rnacentral:lncRNA from 1 species
AAAAAUAUUCUGAGUGUCAACACUGCAGAGGGGAAUCUGCUGCCUAUUGUCUCUGUGUGAAUUUUUACCCUGCCUUCUGGUAUUCUAACUGAAGUCUAAGAGUGCUUCUCAGCUUAUUUAUUGAUGAUUUUGUCAAAAUUAUCUAAAAGAGCUUCAAUAAUCACAUUGACCUCUAAAAUCAGGUGAAGUUAUCCAUUAUAACUGGAAGGAUGAUUAGUUUCAUUAUAACAGACAAUAGAGAACAUUUAUAUGGUAUGGUAAAUACUCUUUGGAGGUAGGCAUUGAAUUUUUCUUUAGGUCUCUGAAUCCUAAGAAUUUUUUUUUGCUCCGGCUUCAUCUUUGAGAAGUAGUGAAAUUCUGAUUUACAUAAAUAUAUUUAUUGGAAUAUGCCUCUCUCCUAUUCAGGCACCUCCUGCCCACUUCUUAGCAUGUAAACUCAUUCUUACCAAAAAGGUCAAUUGAAAUGAGAAUAUUAAUUUAUUUAGGGGUCAUGUGGUUCAGGACAUGCUACCCCCAAAUGGGGCAUCUUGUCAUCUUGCUUUUUGCAGAGAGAAGAAAUUUGAGAAAUGGCAUGUGUAAGAAGGACUUUCUUACCUUCCCCUCAAGCAGGUCACAGGACCCUUCUGUAAGAGAUACCCUCUCUAUACCCAGAUGAAAGGAGCAUCCUUAUCUCUAAAGAUAAAGGGGCACUGAGAGGAAUCAGAAGGAAUAGGCUUUGCUCAGUUUCCCCAUUUACUCAAUAAGACUGUUUGUCCCAUCCUAUCUUUCACAACCUUCCAGCCUUCAUCAAAUCUGGCACAAAAACACCCAGGCUUAACUAUUUUCUUCAGGUCUUCAUUUCCUUAUGAAGGCUCUCAUGUUACAUAAAACUUAUGUUAAAUAAAUGUGUAUGCUUUUCUCUUAUUAAUCUGUCUUUUGUUACAGGAGCUCCAGUCAAGAACAGAUACCUUUCUGGCCCUACAGGAGGAUGUAUGUUGAUGUUACUUGAUGUCACUUUCAUAAAAAUACAACUGUGUACAACUGCUCAGUAUCAUAAAAAAAACCAUGUGGUGAUCAUCAUUUUUAGAGGCCAAGUUACAGGUAAAGUGUAA